UGUAAACGAAACCUGUGUUUCUCGAACUACAGGUGUUUCUGGGGGUCACUCGCCGGCUCUGGCCGUCUAAAGAUGCAUCCAGGUCCAAAGGGUCACUGUCCUCCUCCCCCAGGUCCAGGGCACUGCCC